rnacentral:rRNA from 1 species
AGAGAUUGAACAUAAGAGUUUGAUCCUGGCUCAGAUUGAACGCUGGCGGCAUGCUUUACACAUGCAAGUCGGACGGCAGCACAGAGAAGCUUGCUUCUCGGGUGGCGAGUGGCGAACGGGUGAGUAACAUAUCGGAACGUACCGAGUAGUGGGGGAUAACUGAUCGAAAGAUCAGCUAAUACCGCAUACGUCUUGAGAGAGAAAGCAGGGGACCUUUGGGCCUUGCGCUAUUCGAGCGGCCGAU